rnacentral:misc_RNA from 1 species
ACAGAACUAAGACAUCCAAACUUUCAGCUACUUCCUCCUUUUCUUUUCUUGAGUGAUAAAUGAUGGUCCUCUUUUCGUUCCCAAUUCUAAUUAUUCUGUGAAAAUUCUUAAAUUCCAGACACCGUAAUCAUAAAAUUUCUUCCCCAAAAAUGGCAUCUCAAUACUCCAGCGAACGCGCCUGGUUUCGAACCCGAAUCCUAACCAAUCACUUCCCUAGUUCUCCUUCUCUAUGCGUUUCUCCUCUGGAAUCGAAUGCUUGCCUAAGCUAUUCUCCUCCUGAGCUACAUGAAAGUUACGAUUUUGAUACCAACGAGAUGCGGAAAUUGCUGGACAUGCACAAUAUCGAGGAUAGGGAUUGGUUGUUUGGGUUGAUGAGGCAGAGCAAGGUGUUUAAUCCUCAAGAGAAGGGAGGGAGAGUGUAUGUUGCGCCGGAUUAUAAUCAGUCGAUGGAGCAGCAGAGGGAGAUGACGAUGAGACGGAUAGCUUAUCUGUUGGAAAGAGGAGUUUUUAAUGGAUGGUUGACAGGGAAAGGAUUAGAAUCGGAAAUGAAAAAGUUUGCUUUUUUGGAAGUUGUUGGGAUUUUUGAUCACUCCCUCUCUGUUAAGCUUGGUGUUCACUUCUUUUUGUGGGGUGGUGCUAUC